UACGUAGGGGGCAAGCGUUGUCCGGAAUCAUUGGGCGUAAAGAGCGUGUAGGCGGCCAGAUAAGUCCGCUGUGAAAACUCGAGGCUCAACUUCGAGCUGUCGGUGGAAACUUUCUGGCUAGAGUCCGGAAGAGGAGAAUGGAAUUCCUGGUGUAGCGGUGAAAUGCGCAGAUAUCGGGAGGAACACCAAUGGCGAAGGCAGCUCGCUGGGACGGUACUGACGCUGAGACGCGAAAGCGUGGGGAGCAAACAGG
rnacentral:rRNA from 1 species